AUUACUUUAUUUUUGAGGUAGAAUUCGAUAUAAGGGAAUAGACAUAAUAGAUGAACUAUAAAAAAAAUUUUAGGGACCAGGAUUAGAUACCCUGUUACUUAUUUUAAUAGGCUUUGGAUUAGUAUUAUUAAUGAAAUUUAACGGAUUUGGCGGCAAGAUAGCUUUUUAGAGGAACCUGCCCUGUGAACGAUGAUCCACGAGAGCCUUACUUUAUUUUGAAAUCAGUUUGUAUACCGCUGUUGUCAGUUAGAUUUUUGAGAAUAUUUUCUUUUUGGUAAAGCCAAUGACUUCAAGUAAAGGUGCAGCUUAUAGUAAAGUUAGAGGUGGGUUACAUUUAUAAGAAUAAGACGGAUUAAGGAUUUAAUUGACUUAUGAAGGUGGAUUUAACCGUAAAAUUGAAUUAGAUUUGGUGAUAGCUCUAUCUUGUGUACACACCGCCCGUCGCUCUCUUUUUUGAAAU
rnacentral:rRNA from 1 species